AUUGAACGCUGGCGGCAUGCUUUACACAUGCGAGUCGAACGGUAACAGCACUUCGGUGGCUGACGAGUGGCGGACGGGUGCGUAAUACAUCGGAACGUGCCUCGUAGUUGGGGAUAACUACUCGAAAGAGUAGCUAAUACCUCAUGAGAUCUAAUGAUGAAAGCAGGGGACCUCCGGGCCUUGCGCUACUAUAGCGGCUGGUGGCAGAUUAGGUGGUGGGUGAGAGAAAAGCUGACCAAGCCGACGAUCUGUAGCUGGCCGGAGAGGACGAGCCGCCACACUGGAACUGAGACGCGGUCCAGACUCCUACGGGAGGCAGCAGUGGGGAAUGUUGGACAAUGGGCGAAAGCCUGACCGAGCAACGCCGCGUGAAUGAUGAAGGUCUUCGGAUCGUAAAACUCUGUUAUUAGGAAAGAAAAAAUGUGUAAGUAACUAUGCACGUCUUGACGGUACCUAAUCAGAAAGCCACGGCUAACUACGUG
rnacentral:rRNA from 1 species